AUGUCUGCAGGUCGCUCUCAGCACACGGCUACCUCGAGCAUGCGGCGCCAGCAGGAGGCCGAGCGCGCCGUGGCAGAGGAGCGUGAGCGAGCGGCUGUAGCAGCAGCUGCUGCGGCGGCAAGGGUGUCGAGGCUGGCUGCAGAGGAGCUGGCAGCAGCCAGAGCGGAGGUAGAAGCAGCCAGGGCGGAGGUAGAAGCAGCAGCAGCAGCAGCAGAAGCAGCCCGUGAGGCUACGGCGGAUGCCAAGCCACUCCGCGGCGGCCCCGGCAGCUCCAGCAGCUCCGCGCCUGCGGAUGACGGCGCCGACGCAGAUCGCGCCAAAGUGGCGCAGGAGCGGACAGCGCAGUGGGCAGCCGAGCACGCCCGCGCUCCAGGUGGAGGCGCGCACCGCGACGGCGGCUGCAACGACCAGGACCGCGGCCUCCACGAGGUCCGGACUGUGGUCAGGGAUGUUGGUCCCAGUGUUGGGUGGCCUACCCUCACUAAAACCAACUACGUCGAGUGGGCCGGGAUCAUGAAGGUCAGGCUCCAGGUGCGGCGCAUGUGGGAGGCAGUCCAGGACAGCAACGUCGACCACCUAGAGGAUCGACGGGCGCUGGACGCCCUCAUCGCCACAGUCCCGCCCGAGAUGCAGUUCUCGCUUUCCAACAAGCGGACUGCCAAGGAGGCUUGGGACGCCAUCGCCGCAGCACGCAUCGGCAGUGACCGUGCUCGCAAGUCCACUCUGCAGGCACUUCGUAAGGAGUGGGAGAGCCUGGCUUUCAAGCCAGGUGAGGACGUUGAUGACUUUGCUCUCCGUCUCAACACUCUGCUGCACAAGAUGGUGAAGUUUGGCGAUGCCACCUACACCGAGGAGAGAGCUGUCGAGAAGCUUUUUCGGUGCAUUCCCGAGAAGUACAAGCAGAUGGCUCGCUCGAUCGAGUCGUCGCUGGACCUCUCCACGAUGACGAUCGAGGAGGCGAUAGGCCGUCUCAAGGUCGUCGACACCGAUGAACCACAGCCUCCCUCGGGGCCCAUCACCACCGGCGGGAAGCUGCUCCUAACUCGGGAGCAGUGGGAUCCCAGCCUUGGUGACAGGAAGAAGGGGGAGCCUUCUUCCACGACGGGCGGCCGCAAGCUACGUCCACUUCAAAGAAGCCGGGGGAGCAACCAGCUCCUCGUCGCCGGGCACGCCUACCCCGGCCCCCAAAACCACAUCGACUCCGGUGCCUGCUACGCCGACGGCACCACAACCGGCGACGCCGCACACUCCAGCCCCGGCAGUCACCACCCCGGGCUCAUCGACAUCGACACCAGCAAGAGCACGAGCGGGAUCCUCUUCUUCCUCGGCAAGUAUCUCGUGAGCUGGCAAUCAGUCAAGCAGCAGGUGGUGGCCCUGUCCAGCUGUGAGGCUGAGUACAUAGCGGCCUCCACCGCCUGCACUCAGGCACUCUGGCUCGCUCGACUGCUUGGUGAUCUUGUUCAAGACACCAGAACGGUGCAGCUCCUGGUGGACAGCAAGUCCGCCCUGGCCCUGGCAAAGAACCCCGUUUUCCACGAACGGGGCAAGCACAUCCGACUGAGGUACCACUUCAUUCGCAGCUGUGUGGAAGAAGGGAGCAUCGAGGCGAGCUACAUCAACACCACGGACCAGCUCGCAGACCUGCUCACCAAGCCUCUUGGGAGGAUCAAGUUCCUCGCACUCUGCUCCAGGAUCGGGAUGAUUCAACCCUCCCACAAAACGACGUACAAGACUUAG
rnacentral:rRNA from 1 species